rnacentral:rRNA from 1 species
AUUGAACGCUGGCGGCAUGCCUUACACAUGCAAGUCGAACGGUAACGCGGGGCAACCUGGCGACGAGUGGCGAACGGGUGAGUAAAGUAUCGGAACGUGCCCAAUAGUGGGGGAUAGCCCGGCGAAAGCCGGAUUAAUACCGCAUGAGACCUGAGGGUGAAAGCGGGGGACUCGCAAGAGCCUCGCGCUGUUGGAGCGGCCGAUAUCAGAUUAGGUAGUUGGUGGGGUAAAGGCCUACCAAGCCGACGAUCUGUAGCUGGUCUGAGAGGACGACCAGCCACACUGGGACUGAGACACGGUCCAGACUCCUACGGGAGGCAGCAGUGGGGAAUUUUGGACAAUGGGCGAAAGCCUGAUCCAGCAAUGCCGCGUGAGCGAUGAAGGCCUCGGU